AUACGGAGGAUGCGAGCGUUAUCCGGAUUUAUUGGGUUUAAAGGGUGCGUAGGCUGUGCGUUAAGUCAGGGGUGAAAUGCCGUCGCUCAACGACGGAGCUGCCCUUGAUACUGGCGUGCUGGAGUACGGAUGCCGUUGGAGGAAUGAGUGGUGUAGCGGUGAAAUGCUUAGAUAUCACUCAGAACACCGAUUGCGAAGGCAUCUGACGAAUCCGUCAAUGACGCUGAGGCACGAAAGCGUGGGGAUAGAACAGGAUUAGAUACCCUGGUAUUCCACGCCGUAAACGAUGAUGACUAACCGUCGGCGAUAGACAGCCGGUGGCCAAGCGAAAGCGAUAAGUCAUCCACCUGGGGAGUACGUCGGCAACGAUGAAACUCAAAUGAAUUGACGGGG
rnacentral:rRNA from 1 species